AGAGUUUGAUCCUGGCUCAGGAUGAACGCUGGCGGCAUGCCUAAUACAUGCAAGUCGAACGAAGUUUCGAGGAAGCUUGCUUCCAAAGAGACUUAGUGGCGAACGGGUGAGUAACACGUAGGUAACCUGCCCAUGUGUCCGGGAUAACUGCUGGAAACGGUAGCUAAAACCGGAUAGGUAUACRGAGCGCAUGCUCUGUAUAUUAAAGCGCCCAUCAAGGCGUGAACAUGGAUGGACCUGCGGCGCAUUAGCUAGUUGGUGAGGUAACGGCCCACCAAGGCGAUGAUGCGUAGCCGGCCUGAGAGGGUAAACGGCCACAUUGGGACUGAGACACGGCCCAAACUCCUACGGGAGGCAGCAGUAGGGAAUUUUCGUCAAUGGGGGAAACCCUGAACGAGCAAUGCCGCGUGAGUGAAGAAGGUCUUCGGAUCGUAAAGCUCUGUUGUAAGUGAAGAACGGCUCAUAGAGGAAAUGCUUAUGGGAGUGACGGUAGCUUACCAGAAAGCCACGGCUAACUACGUGCCAGCAGCCGCGGU
rnacentral:rRNA from 1 species